AUUCCUAGCUUCAAGUCCUCUCUGUGCUGGGGCUCUGGCAGUGAGACUCAAGAGAAAACUGGCUCUUCGCACAGGUCCUCCAGCUGAGCAGAGAUCCUGGCUAUUGGAGAACAGGAGGGAACUGCAGCAAAAUGCCCACCCUGAACUUGUUCUGUGUGUCUCCCCCUUGAGCAUUUCCUACCACUUCCAAAACAAGAGUGUUACUACAUGAAUAACCCUCAGCAAGCAAGGCAUCUGGACAGAUUCCUCUGGGACAAAGCAGAACUGCUCCUGUAACAGUGAUGUGGACGUGCGUACUGGAUCUGCUAUGGGGAAAAUGGAAACUGGAAUGCUGGAUUUUAAGAUGGAGUUAGGCUUCAUCGUGGGACUCAUCAUCUAUCAACAGAAAAAGAAAGGAUUAUCAGAACCACAGAGAAGUACUGGGUGAAUCCUUACUGCGUGAUAUCUUUCACGGCACAGCGGGAGAUAUCCCUCAGCUUAAUCUGGUACUGUCUUAUUUUUUCUAAGCAAGUCAUGUCCAAGAUAGCCCUUUGUCCCAUUAAUUUUCUGUUUAAGGGUUGAGGUCACCAGCAAGAGGAGGACCUGAGUUCUGUACCC
rnacentral:lncRNA from 1 species